rnacentral:misc_RNA from 1 species
AAGUCGUAACAAGGUUUCCGUAGGUGAACCUGCGGAAGGAUCAUUAACACGUAUCCAACGUUAAACAACCCUGUGAACUUUAAGUCCCCAGCAAUCCCGGUAAAUCAUUGCCAAACAGUUUUGAUUCGGGACCUCUGUUCAAAAGGAGUUGCAAUCGAAGGGUGGAAGCAGUGGCAUGGCUUCCCCAAGCAGUUAGUGAAUGACAGUGUCACUGACUGUGUAAGGAUAACGCCUCACGGUUGCUAGAGGUCGAUCACCGACCGGCAGACAUGUCACAGGGUCACCACGCCCCUUAAUCACUCCACUUGAAAAUGCCCCGCCUAGUGGUAACGCGCUAGGUAAAAAAAACCGAACAACUGUUAACAAUGGAUAUCUUGGUUCUC